rnacentral:rRNA from 1 species
CCUACGGGUGGCAGCAGUCGGGAAUUUUGGGCAAUGGGCGCAAGCCUGACCCAGCAACGCCGCGUGAAGGAUGAAGCAUCUCGGUGUGUAAACUUCAUAAGAGUGGGAAGAAUAAGACUGGGCUAACACCCCAGUUGAUGACGGUACCACUUGUAAGCCCCGGCUAACUCCGUGCCAGCAGCCGCGGUAAUACGGGGGGGGCAAGCGUUGUUCGGAUUUACUGGGCGUAAAGGGCGCGUAGGCGGCCCUCUCAAGUCGCUUGUGAAAUCUCCGGGCUCAACCCGGAGCGGCCAAGCGAUACUGAGGGGCUGGAGUGCGGAAGGGGCCACCGGAAUUCUCGGUGUAGCGGUGAAAUGCGUAGAUAUCGAGAGGAACACCUGCGGCGAAGGCGGGUGGCUGGGCCGACACUGACGCUGAGGCGCGAAAGCCAGGGGAGCGAA